rnacentral:lncRNA from 1 species
AGCCACUGCCAGGCCGGCCCCGCGCCUCGUUCCCUCCAAGAGCCGCUGACAGCCGGGGCCCACACCUUUUCCCCUCCAACAGUUGCCGACAGGUGGGACCCUUCUUUUGCUGUCAACCCUAGCGGAAUAUUCCCUUGCCGUCCAAUAAAUAAAAUCCCAGAAAAUAUUUUAUCUUUUGAAAAUCCGUAGAAAAUCAACCAUAAUUCCGAUUGACCCCAUUCAAGUUUCUAAAUUUUUCUAAAAUUGAGAUCUACACAGUGGCACUGUUAUUUCUCUGAUUUAAGAUAGUUUUAUUGCCUUUUCUUAUUUAGAUUUGUUUUCGCGUUUAGAGCCCGAGUACGAGGAAGCUCCGGACGCCGCUUUCGAGGGAAAAGACCCCAACCCUGUGCAAGGCAAGCCUCUUUGAUCACAUUGCCCCUAUAUUUUCAAUAAUAUGUUGUUUGCAAAAAUGCAUUGCUUAGUAUACACGAUUAACAUGUUUAGGCCUCGGAUUGUUUAUACAACUGACGGACCAACCUAGGAGUCGCACUUAUAUUUCAUAGGUUGAUGUUUCCAUACCUUUGAUAGCUCCACAAAUAUUUGCGCCGGUAUUGUUGUACGAAUACCGAGAUAGUUUCGCUUAGCCAUGCUUAUGUUGUUUGCCAAAUACAUGUUUAAAAGUCCGGUACGUUGUACCGAGGUGUUGUGAAAUAAAAUGUGUUGUGAAAGUGGUGAUGAUGCGGAGUCAUGCCUUUGUGGUUUGGCUACGUAUUGUCGUUAAGGAACGAUUCCUUUGGGAAAUCCAUCCAAACACAUUACAGUGCGACCACACGGGUAUUUAUGGGAUGCCUCUGGCUAAGUAAAUUGCUAUCACAUGGGAGUUGGUGUGCCAAUGGUUGUGGAAUGCCGAGGAUGAGGAGACGAAGUUUUUACCUUUUUGCCCAUCAUGGGUGUUAUUUUGCCUCUAUUGUGGUGUACGAAAUCAGUAGGAGACAUCCUCGGUAUUUCCUGGCGUGCGAACUUUCGUUGCCGACGGGUAAACGAUGUCAGUUUCGUGUCGUGUGGGUAAAACGUGCAACCUUUGCAGAGAUUAAUGAACUGUCCGAACAGCCGUGCCCACGGUCAAGGGCGAGUGUAAGGUGUUUCUCAUAGCGUAGAUUUGUUUGACAAAUGUUUGUGAAGUGGUUAUUUGGGAAGGGUAACGUUACCAGAGUCCGCCUGUGUGGCAGACGGCUAACCUAUGUGGUUAGGAACAGGUCUGUGUGACCUGGGGUGUCGUCCGACACCGAGGUGUUGUUAGGGCCAUGAUGGCGUUGUUGUGCUGAGAUAACUGUGUGGACUAUGUGUUGUUGUGAGAAGAAACUAAUAGAGGAAACAAAUUAAUUGUUGUUCGUUAAUCGUGAUAAGUUGUUGCAAAGCAACUUGUGGAAUGGGUCGAGGCGUGAGCCUCCUCCUGACAACUAAACACUUGACUCACUCACUAGGAGUUUUGUGAAAUAAAUCACUUUGCCAAAAAGGCAGCUUUCGCAAAUAAAACCAUAGCCUCCUUGUUUAAGCCAAACAUGUCAUUCUUUCCUCUGGCUUGCUGAGUACGUUAAGUACUCACCCUUGCCCCUUAUAAUAAUCUAUAGAGUAUGAAGAUGAAGACGUCGACCCGACCGCCGAGGAGUAUCUCCAGGAGCAAGCUGAGUAUGAAGACUUCUAGAUGUUUUGUCCCUAGCCCCAAGCCUCGCUUGUGGAAUAAGUUAGUUGCCUAGGUUCAUAGCCUAGAGCAUAGUUGCUUAGUCGCUUAGUCUCUCCGCGUGUUCGCUUUUAUGUUUUUCUGUGCUAUUGUGUUGCUCAUCCAUGGGCCUGUCCAUGAUAGCAACUUAUGUAAUGACUGCUACCCAGUGAUGUAAUAAUGCAGUUUACUUUGAUUUCACAUUUAUUCUGUGUGUACCAGCUAGUGUAUCCUGGGACUGGUACUAUAUCACAGGUAAUGCAUAACACCCUGAUGUAAGUUAGCUAUGUUUAUGGCUAACGAAUGUCGGGGCGUUACAGGCAUGAUGUCUAGGAGGCUUUGUUGUUGGAGGUCCGGGUUGAGGAGGAGUACGAGAUGGUAGCGGAUGCGGACUACCAGAAACGCAAAA